CCCAGACUCCUACGGGAGGCAGCAGUGGGGGAUAUUGCACAAUGGGGGGAACCCUGAUGCAGCGACGCCGCGUGGGUGAAGGAGCGUUUCGGCGCGUAAAGCCCUAUCGGCAGGGAAGAAGGAGGACGGUACCUGACUAAGAAGCCCCGGCUAACUACGUGCCAGCAGCCGCGGUAAUACGUAGGGGGCAAGCGUUAUCCGGAUUUACUGGGUGUAAAGGGGGCGCAGACGGCAGCGCAAGCCAGGAGUGAAAGCCCGGGGCCCAACCCCGGGACUGCUCUUGGAACUGCGCGGCUGGAGUGCAGGAGGGGCAGGCGGAAUUCCUGGUGUGGCGGUGAAAUGCGUAGAUAUCAGGAGGAACACCGGUGGCGAAGGCGGCCUGCUGGACUGCGACUGACGUUGAGGCCCGAAAGCGUGGGGAGCAAACAGGAUUAGAUACCCCAGUAU
rnacentral:rRNA from 1 species